UGUGACCCCUUUGCAGUGACAGAAG
rnacentral:piRNA from 1 species